AAUUUAGUGCUAAACCUGACUUAGCAAUCAGAACCUUUCUGAUGCUUUGAUCUAAUCAAACUCUUUGAUCCGAUCAACCCACAAGACAAGAUUGACGUCUAGCAACGUAUCAUGUCUACCCGAAAGAUGAGGAAUGUAUUGGAUAAAUCCAAAUAUACCCUUCAGUGGCAAGUUACCGUGCAAUUCAAUCCCUCAGUCAUACUACAUCCUGAAUAAGUGCAUGAGUAUGGAUCAAUAUCAAACUCAAUCACUUAUUCAUGUCUCUCUCAAUCUUUUAUAUGAUAAUUCAAACAAUGAAACAU
rnacentral:lncRNA from 1 species